rnacentral:rRNA from 1 species
CGUGAAGGAAGAAGGUUCUAUGGAUUGUAAACUUCUUUUGCAGGGGAAUAAAGGACGGUACGUGUACUGUUUUGUAUGUACCUUGCGAAUAAGGAUCGGCUAACUCCGUGCCAGCAGCCGCGGUAAUACGGAGGAUCCGAGCGUUAUCCGGAUUUAUUGGGUUUAAAGGGUGCGUAGGUGGAUUGUUAAGUCAGUGGUGAAAGUUUUCAGCUCAACUGAAAAAUUGCCGUUGAAACUGUCGAUCUUGAGUGCAAAUGAGGUAGGCGGAAUGUGUUGUGUAGCGGUGAAAUGCUUAGAUAUAACACAGAACUCCGAUUGCGAAGGCAGCUUACUGGGAUGCAACUGACACUGAUGCACGAAAGCGUGGGUAUCAAACAGGAUUAGAUACCCUGGUAGUCCACGCAGUAAACGAUGAAUACUAGCUGUAUGCGAUACACCGUAUGUGGCACAGCGAAAGCGUUAAGUAUUCCACCUGGGGAGUACGUUCGCAAGAAUGAAACUCAAAGGAAUUGACGGGGGCCCGCACAAGCGGAGGAACAUGUGGUUUAAUUCGAUGAUACGCGAGGAACCUUACCCGGGCUUGAAAUGCAGACGACCGACAGGGAAACUUGUCUUCCAGCAAUGGCGUCUGUGUAGGUGCUGCAUGGUUGUCGUCAGCUCGUGCCGUGAGGUGUCGGCUUAAGUGCCAUAACGAGCGCAACCCUUGCCAUUAGUUGCUAACAGGUUAAGCUGAGAACUCUAAUGGGACUGCCAUCGUAAGAUGCGAGGAAGGUGGGGAUGACGUCAAAUCAGCACGGCCCUUACGUCCGGGGCGACACACGUGUUACAAUGGGUGGUACAGAGGGUUGCUACCUGGUGACAGGAUGCUAAUCUCUUAAAUCCACUCUCAGUUCGGAUCGAAGUCUGCAACUCGACUUCGUGAAGCUGGAUUCGCUAGUAAUCGCGCAUCAGCCAUGGCGCGGUGAAUACGUUCCCGGGCCUUGUACACACCGCCCGUCAAGCCAUGGAAGCCGGGGGGACCUGAAGUACGUAACCGCAAGGAGCGUCCUAGGGUAAAACCGGUAACUGGGGCUAAGUCGUA